rnacentral:tRNA from 5 species
AGGGGUAGAGCCAGCUGGGACGGCAGCGGAUUCCAAACCCGCCAUUGACGGAGUUCGAUUCUCCGUACCCCUGCCA